rnacentral:misc_RNA from 1 species
AUGGGUGCUGUGUGUGU